rnacentral:rRNA from 1 species
UUGUUUAUCAAUAAGCCGGAGGAAAAGAUACCAACAGGGAUUGCCCUAGUAACGGCGAGUGAACAGGCAAGAGCUCAGAUUUGAAAGGCACUUUUGUGCCGUUGUAUUCUGAAGUUAGGGUCCUGAGAAACGAUGCUUAAGUCUUCUGGAAAGGAGCGCCAUGGAGGGUGAUAGCCCCGUCUAGCAUUGACCUCAUAUAGGAUCUUAACAUGGAGUCGAGUUGUUUGGGAAUGCAGCUCAAAUGGGUGGUAUGCUCCAUCUAAAGCUAAAUAUUUGCGAGAGACCGAUAGUAAACAAGUACUGUGAGGGAAAGAUGAAAAGAACUUUGAAAAGAGAGUGAAAAAGUACGUGAAAUUGUUGAAAUGGAAGGGUAGGCCGCUAACCAUGUAGAGCCGUGUUUGGGGGGAAGAUAAAUGCUGUAGAAUGUAGCUCCUCGGAGUAUUAUAGAUGCAGUUCAUAUUCCCACCCGAGUCGGCGAGGAUCUCAGGUUCAUACUAA